rnacentral:rRNA from 1 species
CCUACGCGGAGCAGCAGUGGGGAAUAUUGGACAAUGGGCGAAAGCCUGAUCCAGCCAUGCCGCGUGUGUGAAGAAGGCCUUCGGGUUGUAAAGCACUUUCAGUGGGGAAGAAAGCCUUGGGGCUAAUACCCUCGAGGAAGGACAUCACCCACAGAAGAAGCACCGGCUAACUCCGUGCCAGCAGCCGCGGUAAUACGGAGGGUGCGAGCGUUAAUCGGAAUUACUGGGCGUAAAGCGCGCGUAGGCGGUCUGAUAAGCCGGUUGUGAAAGCCCCGGGCUCAACCUGGGAACGGCAUCCGGAACUGUCAGGCUAGAGUGCAGGAGAGGAAGGUAGAAUUCCCGGUGUAGCGGUGAAAUGCGUAGAGAUCGGGAGGAAUACCAGUGGCGAAGGCGGCCUUCUGGACUGACACUGACGCUGAGGUGCGAAAGCGUGGGUAGCAAACAGGAUUAGAUACCCCAGUAGUC